rnacentral:rRNA from 1 species
GACAGAGGGUGCAAACGUUGUUCGGAAUUACUGGGCAUAAAGCGCACGUAGGUGGUCCGCUAAGUCGCGUGUGAAAUCCCCCGGCUCAACCGGGGAAAUGCGCGUGAUACUAGCGGGCUUGAGAUCGGGAGGGGUGAAUGGAACUCCAGGUGGAGCGGUGAAAUGCGUAGAUAUCUGGAGGAACACCGGUGGCGAAAGCGGUUCACUGGCCCGACACUGACACUGAGGUGCGAAAGCUAGGGUAGCAAACGGG